rnacentral:rRNA from 1 species
GAUGAACGCUGGCGGCGUGCCUAAUACAUGCAAGUCGAGCGAACGGACGAGAAGCUUGCUUUUCUGAUGUUAGCGGCGGACGGGUGAGUAACACGUGGAUAACCUACCUAUAAGACUGGGAUAACUUCGGGAAACCGGAGCUAAUACCGGAUAAUAUUUUGAACCGCAUGGUUCAAAAGUGAAAGACGGUCUUGCUGUCACUUAUAGAUGGAUCCGCGCUGCAUUAGCUAGUUGGUAAGGUAACGGCUUACCAAGGCAACGAUGCAUAGCCGACCUGAGAGGGGGAUCGCCCACACUGGAACUGAGACACGGUCCAGACUCCUACGGGAGGCAGCAGUAGGGAAUCUUCCGCAAUGGGCGAAAGCCUGACGGAGCAACGCCGAGUGAGUGAUGAAGGUCUUCGGAUCGUAAAACUCUGUUAUGAGGGAAGAACAUAUGUGUAAGUAACUGUGCACAGCUUGACGGUACCUAAUCAGAAAGCCACGGCUAACUACGUG